rnacentral:rRNA from 1 species
UUUUUGAAUUUAAUAUAAAGUCUAACCUGCCCACUGAAAUUUAAAUGGCCGCAGUAUUCUAACUGUGCAAAGGUAGCAUAAUCAUUAGUCUUUUAAUUAAAGGCUGGAAUGAAUGGUUGAAUGAAAUAUUAACUGUUUCAUAUAAAUUUUUUAUAGAAUUUUAUUUUUUAGUUAAAAAGCUAAAAUGAAAUUAAAAGACGAGAAGACCCUAUAAAUCUUUAUAUUUAAAUAAUUUUAAUUAUAUAGAUAAAUUUAAUUAUAAUUAUUUUAAAUAUUUUAUUGGGGUGAUAUUAAAAUUUAAAAAACUUUUAAUUAAUUAGUAACAUAAAUUAAUGAAUACUUGAUCCAUUAUUAAUGAUUAAAAAUUUAAGUUACUUUAGGGAUAACAGCGUAAUUUUUUUAGAGAGUUCAUAUUGAUAAAAA